rnacentral:rRNA from 1 species
UACGAAGGGGGCUAGCGUUGUUCGGAAUUACUGGGCGUAAAGCGCGCGUAGGCGGAUCGCUAAGUCAGGGGUGAAAUCACAGGGCUCAACCCUGGAACUGCCUUUGAUACUGACGAUCUGGAGAUCGGGAGAGGUUGGUGGAAUUCAGAGUGUAGAGGUGAAAUUCGUAGAUAUUCGGAGGAACACCAGAAGCGAAGGCGGCCAACUGGCCUGAUACUGACGCUGAGGCGCGAAAGCGUGGGGAGCAAACAGG